ACCUGGGUGGCUCAGUGGGUUGAACAUCCAACUUUGGCUCAGGUCAUGAUCUCACGGUUAGUGGGUUUGAGCCCUGCAUUGGACUUGCUGCUGUCCUCACAAAGCCUGCUUCGGAUCCUCUGCCCCACUCUCUCUGCCUCUCCCUCACGUGCGAUCUGUCUCUCUCUCAAAA